GGGGCUAAAAUUUUAUUCUUGCUUAGUGGGUUUAAUGUUAUUUUUCGUUCUUUAUUGAUGUGUUGAAUUGUUAUUAUUGAACUGGUGUACACGCAUUCCGGUAGAGAUGUACCAGAAAGCAAGAAUACAACAAGAAUACAGUCUAUCUGGAUCUUAUCUGACAGCGUGAAAGCAAGAUAAAAGAGCGGCGAUUCCUUACUAGAAAUGAACCAGUCUCAGGGUGAAGUUCGAACCACAAAGAGGUCUUUAGUUGCCUGCGAAAAUGAGUUUUUCCCGUGCUUUCAUCGUUUGUGCUCUGUUUAUUUACAUCACGUAUGGAGGGGCGUCAGUG